ACUGCAUCUCAGCACUGUCAAGAUGGAUCUGCAUAAUAGCAUGUCCUGGAUGUCUUUCAGUGCAUUGUCGAAGAACUGUACUUGCUUCCAGGCCUAUGAAACAACAUGAGGCAAUGAGAUUCAAGCAUCUCCUCACUUGGAGAUAGCUCAAACAAGCGAGCCAUCCUAAAUAAGAAUGAUACCUAGAACAGAAAGCAAUGCAGUUCAUAUGUGUUUGGAGCAUUGAGCGCCUUUGGGAGGAAGAAUGGAAUUUAAAUGUAAUAAACAGAGCAAACAAACAACCAAUCAUAAAAAAUAU